ensembl:lncRNA
GGACCCGGCUCGCGCGGGUCCACUAGGCGGGAGGCGGCGCGGCGCGGCCCGGCUUAGCUGCGCCUCCUCCCUGCCGCCCACCCGGCGAAGACGCGAGAAGGAAAAAAAAAAUUAUGGAAACUUGAAAAGUCAGAAGGGCAGUUAUAAGGUGUAACUUGAUACCAACCUUUCUGGAAAUCAGUAUAGCAGUGAAUGUCAGAAGCUUUAAAACAAACAGGUCCUUUGGCUACUAUAAAGCUGCUACCCACCAGCAAAACUACAUCAGUUGUUAAAAUAUUAAACAACUUCUAUACCAAUCAGCAAAUAGCCAUCACCUUCCAAAUGGCCUUACCUUGGCUCACGCAGACAUUUCAGCCUCUCCCAAACACCAUUCGCUUGCUCAUUUUCCAACCAUUAAAGAGUUAAUGUCCAACAUACCAACAGGCCUUUAGAGUCUUCCCCUUGCUCAGAGCCCUGGCCAUUGUCAGUUCUGACUGUGAAGCUGGGGAAAAACCUGUGUAUCUCAAAGCAAAUGAAGCUGGGAUUCAAGGAGACUCCAAGUAACUCAAAACAUGAAGAUGCCCAGUGACCAUAAAUUACUAAACUUCUAGCAAUCUGUCUCUUCUUCU